AGUCGAGCGGAGAUGAGGUGCUUGCACCUUAUCUUAGCGGCGGACGGGUGAGUAAUGCUUAGGAAUCUGCCUAUUAGUGGGGGACAACAUUCCGAAAGGAAUGCUAAUACCGCAUACGUCCUACGGGAGAAAGCAGGGGAUCUUCGGACCUUGCGCUAAUAGAUGAGCCUAAGUCGGAUUAGCUAGUUGGUGGGGUAAAGGCCUACCAAGGCGACGAUCUGUAGCGGGUCUGAGAGGAUGAUCCGCCACACUGGGACUGAGACACGGCCCAGACUCCUACGGGAGGCAGCAGUGGGGAAUAUUGGACAAUGGGGGGAACCCUGAUCCAGCCAUGCCGCGUGUGUGAAGAAGGCCUUAUGGUUGUAAAGCACUUUAAGCGAGGAGGAGGCUACUGAGACUAAUACUCUUGGAUAGUGGACGUUACUCGCAGAAUAAGCACCGGCUAACUCUGUGCCAGCAGCCGCGGUAAUACAGAGGGUGCGAGCGUUAAUCGGAUUUACUGGGCGUAAAGCGUGCGUAGGCGGCUUUUUAAGUCGGAUGUGAAAUCCCCGAGCUUAACUUGGGAAUUGCAUUCGAUACUGGGAAGCUAGAGUAUGGGAGAGGAUGGUAGAAUUCCAGGUGUAGCGGUGAAAUGCGUAGAGAUCUGGAGGAAUACCGAUGGCGAAGGCAGCCAUCUGGCCUAAUACUGACGCUGAGGUA
rnacentral:rRNA from 1 species